CACUCUGGUGGCCUAGUGGUUAAAGCAUCCUCCUUGGAUGCGGGAGGACGCUGGUUCGAUCCCAGGUCGAGUCA